rnacentral:misc_RNA from 1 species
AAGUCGUAACAAGGUUUCCGUAGGUGAACCUGCGGAAGGAUCAUUAACACGUAUCCACGUAUCAAAACCCCUCUGCGCAAAUGUCUUUGUGGAAGGUUGAUCGGAGUUGUGCUCAUUCGAUCUUAAUGAUGGGAGUUCUUUGUUUUUUCUCCCUCGGGAUGAAAACUACGAAGAGCUCGGGAUCUAUGAAUUUGCACCGCGUUUGCACGAUUGGCCGAUAUUUUCCCAUCAUUAGCUUUGACUUUUUUUAAACCCCUUGUACUCUUUCUGUACUGAACCAAACAUCCUUCGACUUCUCUUUGGAGAGAGUGACGAAAGAUAUCACGAAACUAAAGAACAACUCUUAGCAACGGAUAUCUUGGUUCCC